rnacentral:lncRNA from 1 species
AAUGCACUGUCGGAUUUAGAAUGAGUCACUGGCGUAAGCAGCCCAGGCAUGACCUUAUGGAUCUAGAAUGAUGCUAAGGAGACAGGUGGAGCCAUUCUUGUCCAGAGCUGCUAAACCAAGUGGAAUCUUUCAAGGCUCAGUGUCAACGCCUCUCAUGGGAAGCCUGCCUGGACUCUCGUGUUUCUGAAUAGCAGCACUGGCCACGCUCGGCUUUGCAUAGAAGGUAUUUUCAUCCACCCAUUACUCCUACCAACAUUCUUCCAUCAUUCCCUUGAGAUGAGGAAGACAUGGUCUUCUAUGUCUUCCUUGCCACAUUAGCCUCUUUAGCAGGCCUGGGGCAGGCUCUCCGUUGUUGUUGGGUUGAGUUGAAAAAUGCCACCCUGCCUUGAAUGCCUCAUAGUGAAGGAAGAACUCUCUCCAAUCACACCUGUCCCUCUAUCUGGAGAAGACAAAAAGAAGGGUCUAUUUCAUCAUCAAUCUUUAGAGUAACGGAAAGAGAUAGAAAAAUUCCCAGCAUGCUGACUGUGGCAGCAACUACAUGGGCUCACUUGUCUUCUAG